rnacentral:rRNA from 1 species
ACGAACGCUGGCGGCGUGCCUAAUACAUGCAAGUAGAACGCUGAAGAGAGGAGCUUGCUCUUCUUGGAUGAGUUGCGAACGGGUGAGUAACGCGUAGGUAACCUGCCUUGUAGCGGGGGAUAACUAUUGGAAACGAUAGCUAAUACCGCAUAACAAUGGAUGACACAUGUCAUUUAUUUGAAAGGGGCAAUUGCUCCACUACAAGAUGGACCUGCGUUGUAUUAGCUAGUAGGUGAGGUAACGGCUCACCUAGGCGACGAUACAUAGCCGACCUGAGAGGGUGAUCGGCCACACUGGGACUGAGACGCGGCCCAGACUCCUACGGGAGGCAGCAGUAGGGAAUCUUCGGCAAUGGGGGCAACCCUGACCGAGCAACGCCGCGUGAGUGAAGAAGGUUUUCGGAUCGUAAAGCUCUGUUGUAAGUCAAGAACGAGUGUGAGAGUGGAAAGUUCACACUGUGACGGUAGCUUACCAGAAAGGGACGGCUAACUACGUGCCAGCAGCCGCGGUAAUACGUAGGUCCCGAGCGUUGUCCGGAUUUAUUGGGCGUAAAGCGAGCGCAGGCGGUUUGAUAAGUCUGAAGUUAAAGGCUGUGGCUCAACCAUAGUUCGCUUUGGAAACUGUCAAACUUGAGUGCAGAAGGGGAGAGUGGAAUUCCAUGUGUAGCGGUGAAAUGCGUAGAUAUAUGGAGGAACACCGGUGGCGAAAGCGGCUCUCUGGUCUGUAACUGACGCUGAGGCUCGAAAGCGUGGGGAGCGAACAGGAUUAGAUACCCUGGUAGUCCACGCCGUAAACGAUGAGUGCUAGGUGUUGGAUCCUUUCCGGGAUUCAGUGCCGCAGCUAACGCAUUAAGCACUCCGCCUGGGGAGUACGACCGCAAGGUUGAAACUCAAAGGAAUUGACGGGGGCCCGCACAAGCGGUGGAGCAUGUGGUUUAAUUCGAAGCAACGCGAAGAACCUUACCAGGUCUUGACAUCCCGAUGCUAUUUCUAGAGAUAGAAAGUUACUUCGGUACAUCGGUGACAGGUGGUGCAUGGUUGUCGUCAGCUCGUGUCGUGAGAUGUUGGGUUAAGUCCCGCAACGAGCGCAACCCCUAUUGUUAGUUGCCAUCAUUCAGUUGGGCACUCUAGCGAGACUGCCGGUAAUAAACCGGAGGAAGGUGGGGAUGACGUCAAAUCAUCAUGCCCCUUAUGACCUGGGCUACACACGUGCUACAAUGGUUGGUACAACGAGUUGCGAGUCGGUGACGGCAAGCUAAUCUCUUAAAGCCAAUCUCAGUUCGGAUUGUAGGCUGCAACUCGCCUACAUGAAGUCGGAAUCGCUAGUAAUCGCGGAUCAGCACGCCGCGGUGAAUACGUUCCCGGGCCUUGUACACACCGCCCGUCACACCACGAGAGUUUGUAACACCCGAAGUCGGUGAGGUAACCUUUUGGAGCCAGCCGCCUAAGGUGGGAUAGAUGAUUGGGGUG